UCCUAGUUAACCUAGGCAGUCUCGUUAGAGUUCCCGCCAUUACGCGUUGGCAACUAACGAUAAGGGUUGCGCUCGUUGCUGGACUUAACCAAACACCUCACGGCACGAGCUGACGACAGCCAUGCAGCACCUAUAUAGAGACCCUUUCGGGAAGUCACAUCUCUGUGAUUGUCCUCUACAUUUCGAGCCCAGGUAAGGUUCUUCGCGUUGCAUCGAAUUAAACCACAUGCUCCACUGCUUGUGCGGGCCCCCGUCAAUUCUUUUGAGUUUCACCCUUGCGAGCGUACUCCCCAGGCGGCAUACUUAAUGCGUUAGCUCCGAUACAGACAGGGUUGAGCCCGCCUACAUCUAGUAUGCAUCGUUUACAGCUAGGACUAC
rnacentral:misc_RNA from 1 species